CCUAUGUGUCUUGACCAAAUUACGUGCCAGCAGUCGCGGUAAUACGUAGAAGACUAGUGUUAUUCAUGUUUAAUCGGUUUAAAGGGUACCUAGACGGUAAAUCAAGCCUAAAAAGAAAUAAUGAAAGGGACUAAUUUACUAGAGUUACUUAUGAGGGGGCUAUAAUGUACAGCUGGUGUAGAGAUGAAAUUCUGUCAUACCUCUUUUCAAUAGAAAAAAUAAAGGCACAGGUAUAGGCGAAAGCAUCUCCUUAUGUGAUAACUGACGUUGAGGGACGAAGGCUUUGUGUAGCGAACAGGAUUAGAUACCCCAGUAGUCUAAGCAGAAAAUGAUGAAUGUCAUAGAUUAGAUAUAUAAGUUUAUUCUAUAAAUGAAAGUGUAAGCAUUCCACCUCAAGAGUAAUUUGGCAACAUUGGAACUGAAAUCAUUAGACCGUUUCUGAAACCAGUAGUGAAGUAUGUUGUUUAAUUUGAUGAUCCGCAAAAAACCUUACCACAAUUUGAAUAUUUAUAUCUUUUAUUGCUUUUUCUUUUUAACUAUUUCUAAUUUUCUACUUAAAAGAAAACAAUAACAAGAAAAAAGAGGCAAUAAGAUA
rnacentral:rRNA from 1 species